rnacentral:rRNA from 1 species
UACGGGGGGGGCAAGCGUUGUUCGGAAUUACUGGGCGUAAAGGGCUCGUAGGCGGCCAACUAAGUCAGACGUGAAAUCCCUCGGCUUAACCGGGGAACUGCGUCUGAUACUGGAUGGCUUGAGAUUGGGAGAGGGAUGCGGAAUUCCAGGUGUAGCGGUGAAAUGCGUAGAUAUCAAGAGGAACACCUGUGGUGUAGACGGCUUUCUGGAACCAUAGCUGACGCUGAGACACGAAAGCCAGGGGAGCAAACGGG